rnacentral:rRNA from 1 species
GACGAACGCUGGCGGCGUGCUUCACACAUGCAAGUCGAACGGGGUCCAACUAGUGGCAACACUAGGGAAGAUCUAGUGGCGAACGGGUGCGUAACACGUGAGGAACCUACCCCGGACUCU